GCUGCGGCGGCAGCAGCGCGCCCGGCGCCCCCUCCCGCCCAGUCCCCUCCCCCUGUGGCUCUCGCUCGCCCUCUUCCCUCCCCCGGCAACGUCGGCCGCCUCCGGGUGCGCAGGGCAGCGCUCGGCACGCGAACCCCUUCUGCAGGCGCCCCGGCGCCACUCGAGCGUCGAGCCCCGGGCGCGCGUAUAGUCCUCCCCCGCCCCGCAGCCGCCGAGCGACGAUGAGCCGAGGCGCAGGGGUCGCGGAGAGCAGUGAUGAUCGCAGUGCCUCUUCGGAAGAAAAAGAUUGCCCCAGUCGCAACCUAGAUACUUCAAAGGACUCUAAAUCAGGUGAUGACAGCAGUUCCGAGAGCAGUUUGGAAAGUGAAUCUGAUAAUGAGGAGCCAAAACCAGAAAAAACAAAUGGGGAGCUAAGAGAGUCUUCCACCGAGGAAGCGUCUAAUCAGGUUGAAGAAUGGGAGGGUAAAGAAUUGCCCACAGAUCAUUUUAAUUCAGAAUUUAAUGAAAUCCAAUCUCACUGUGAACACUGUAAUGCUGAAAAUAAACACAAUGAACUAGUGACCCCCAGGCUCCUUUCCCGGGGACAGUUUUUACUGAAGGUGGACACAGAGGGAACUUACCAGUGCACGGAGACUGGUCUGAUAUUUGAGGUUAACAGAAAAGUUGACAUCAAGUAUUGCGUCCUGUCCUGGAGCAAAUACGCGGACCUGGUUGUGAAGCCCUGGGUUGUCGGUGGACCCUUGUUUGAUGUUAAAUGUGACCCAACCUGUCUUACCUCCAUUCAUUUUCCACAUUCCCUCUGCUUGGGUCACUGCGAUGCCAACAUGAUGUUCAAAGUCUUACAUGUUAAAAGUACUGGGGCCUUGUUAGAAUAUACUGUGGACCAUUCUGCAACCCAUGUCAAAUGGCACGUGAGCUCUCUUUCUCCUGUGGGACCUGUUAUUCAAAGCGAAGAAACAGUAUUCCACCACGGGGCCGUGAUCCUGUACAAAGCCAUCGACCAUAACCCAUCCUUGUCUUUUCGAGUGUACAUAGCAACCAAUAAUGAGUCCUUCAUCAAGGAUAUUUCCAAAUCUGUAAAGCACUCCUCUAAGAAAUUCAUGAAAAUCGACAAGCCUCCCGUUUGCCAGAAGUUGUUGCAGAAUGGGAAGAAGUACAGGCUGAUCAGUGAGCCAGAAGCUGAAAUCACCCCCGAGGAAAUUGAAUUUGUGGAUGGUUCACUUUUAAAAUUGAAAAGUUAUAGUGAAGUGUAUUUGGAGCAACCAGCGGAGUUUAAGUUACUUUUGGUUGAAAUGGAUUCCGAGGAAAUUGUAUGGAAAGCAAAACUGAGAGAGUGUGACUGGGUUCAGCAUGAUCAGAACCCGAACGUUUCGAAAAGCGGCACAAGUGGUAAUAGGAGACGAAAAAUGAGUAGCAGCUUACCUGAUGAGGUGGUCUAUGAUAAAAGAAUGAAGCAGAUUGACACUUCAGAUGGAGUGAAGACUAAAACCUUGUUAACAGACACUCAGUUGAUUAACCUUGCUGAGAAGUUGGGGAAGGAGUGGGUAAAGAUUGCCAUUGCCAACCUGAAGUUGAAGAUUAGCGAUAUUGAUGCUAUCCUGGAGAAGAAAGAAGAUGUCACGAUCAAUAAGUUUAGGAUGCUGAAGAAGUGGCAAGAAAAGGAGCAGAGUAACGCCACAGCUCAGAAUUUAUGGAACUGCUUAAAAAAUGUCAAUUCAGUUGAAGUCCAAGAUGUGCUGAAAGGUUUCUUACAGGAAACGUGAAGUUUGGAAGAUGAGCUGGAAAAGGAAGCUUCAGGAACUUUUACCUGCAAAGACCCUCGCCGUGGUAAUUGGGUGUGGACUCCGGAACCUAGAGCUGCACAGCCUGUGGAAGCAGCUCCUUUCACAGGCUGCCCACAGCUCACAUUAUUCAGGGGCAGAGGGAAUGAAAUAUUUGGAAACCUUGAGGAAGAAAAAAACCUCUGCAAUAUCAAGAUUUUUUUUUUUUUUUGUACCUCCCACUCACACCCUCCCACCCGCUUCCCCACCCAAACAAAUACACUUACAAAGGGUGCUUAAAAUGACCCAACGCAGUCAGGGGACAACCUUUCUUCCCUGCUUCAUCAUGUGGAAGUGUGUUUUCACUCCAUUUUCUAAAGAGGCCACUGUAUUUGCCGAUAUUUAAGUGUGCUCUCACGAGGACAGUGGUUUUCAGUGGUUGGCCCAGCCUGUUGCCGUUGCUGGAAGUCCUUCUUGGGUUGAAGCAGCACACUGCUUGCUGAAGCUGUAGGAGCCUUUUGUGAAAGGAAAUCUCACCUGGAACCUGCAUUGGUAAAGCGUUCAGAAGUGGAGCUGCUCUGCUGGGGGGUUACUGAGGGCUGAUGAGGGGCCGUCGAGGCACCCUGCUGGACCCCUGACCCACUCCUGUCGGGGGCAGCGUGGGAACCAGCUGAUAAGAUGACUGCUUGGGUCUCUGGGAGCUGUCGUCCAGGAGUUUGUAUCUACGAUGUCUGCAACGGGAGGCUUGUGGAGACCUUCCAGCCUUCCUUUCCUCUGCAGUGAUGACCGCAGAUGACAGCUGAUGCUCCAUCAGCCUGGAUUCCAGAAGAGAACCAUGAGAGCAGAGCCCCCAACUGAUAGGCAAUGAGCAUGUACCUCAAGCAAGAAAUAAACCUUUGUUUUAGGCCAAAAAACCAAAACCAAAAACAGCCUUAAUGAAUUUUGGAUUUUCCCCCAUUCUAAGCAUGUAUAAUGGUUUUGAGCCAAGCAAGCAUGUGCAUUUUACAAUUUUUAACUUUUUUUUUUGUAAUUGGGAAUACUUUGAUUUUUAAAGACUAAAGACUUUCUUAUGUAUUCCUAGAUUAGGAAAAGAAAUGAGAAACGUGUGGAAACCCAUGAAGAUUUGCCUUUCUCUACCAUUUUUGAGUGCUGGGGCCUGAGCACACAAAUACUUGUAUAACAUGACAUUUCCUGUACUUGAAGCUCUCACAGUGUAGUGGGGGAGAGAGGAGAAGCAUAAGUAACUGUGAUGCUGUUUGCAUGGUUAUGAUGAGUUACUGUGUGACCUUAAUACGAGAGGCAAAGGAUACUGUGGCUGUGUGCAUCGGCCAGAGCCAGGCCGCCUGGGUUCAGAUCCCAGCACCUGCCACUUAACCCUGUAAGUGUCUCUGGCCUCUUGCUUUAGUUUCCUCAUCUAUAAAAAGGGGAAGGUAAUAACACCUCCUCCUAGGGUUUUUGGGAGGAUUCUGUGCGUUUGUGGUAAACACUUGUAGAAACAUGCCUGGCACUUAGU